UGGCCCUGCAGCGGGGAGCUGCACAUCUCAGUUGAUUUACUGGUCAUAUGACCUUUGGAUUUGUUCUCCUCCUCUCCGAAGAAAUGGUACUCGGCUAAAAGUUUCCAUAUUUUCCAAAAUUUUGUCCUGAUAAGGAUCACCUAAAGUACUUGUACUUGUUGAAAGUGCUGCUCACCCAGUGCCAGAGGCAUGGUUCAUCCCUGUGGCUCCCGCAACUUCUCAGUCUCAACACCAGGGGCUGGAUCCUGCUUCUCUGAAGGAAGACUUUGACAUACAGGUCAUGAAUCUGAGAAACAGCUUGCAUAUAUUCGUCCAUGCAACAUCUUUUAUUGGAUGCCUACUAAAUUCCAGACAAAUCAUGACUGAUGAUGAUGUGGAGGUAUCCUAUGAAGAAAGGGAGGAGACUGGCUAAUCAACGAUCACACUCAAAGGUGGUUGGUAAAGUUACAUUUACAUUAUUUUCCUUGAAAAGAUAGAAAAGUAUAUUUUUACUAUAGUACAAUUACUCUGGCAGGAAAGACGGGACCCAAAGUAGUUGUGGUCAACUACUCAAAACCAUUUUAUAUCCUUAAAAAAUGAAACCUGGCUGUGCUGAAGUGAUUUGCUUUCUUGCAUUAGGUGAUAGAAGUAGAUCUUCAUGCUUUCAUUAAACAGAGAAAUAAUAUAUGGUUUUUCAUAAUACUUUAAAGUUACCAUUGAAUUAUCAAACGCCAAGGUAAAAUUUAUCAGGUUCAUUUCCACAUGGUUUUUUGAAACAUUAACUUGUUAGUUUCUGGAAACCUGUUCUAAGUUUGGUAAUUAAGAACUCUUUCACUUGGCAAUUAUGAGUGUAGUUUCAAUAUUUUUUUUCUGGUGAAAGUUUGUAUUAUAAAUAACUUCAAAUGAUAAAUGAAGAAUCUCUAAACCA
rnacentral:lncRNA from 1 species